AGACGGGAUAAGACAACAGGGAUUGCCCCAGUAACGGCGAGUGAAGCGGCAACAGCUCAAAUUUGAAAUCUGGCUCCUAGAGUCCGAGUUGUAAUUUGUAGAGGAUGCUUUUGAUGCGGUGCCUUCCGAGUUCCCUGGAACGGGACGCCAUAGAGGGUGAGAGCCCCGUCUGGUCGGAUGCCAAAUCUCUGUAAAGCUCCUUCGACGAGUCGAGUAGUUUGGGAAUGCUGCUCUAAAUGGGAGGUAUAUGUCUUCUAAAGCUAAAUAUUGGCCAGAGACCGAUAGCGCACAAGUAGAGUGAUCGAAAGAUGAAAAGCACUUUGAAAAGAGGGUUAAAUAGUACGUGAAAUUGUUGAAAGGGAAGCGCCUAUGACCAGACUUGGGCCCGGUGAAUCAUCCAGCGUUCUCGCUGGUGCACUUUGCCGGGCACAGGCCAGCAUCAGUUUGUCUUGGGGGAAAAAGGCUUUGGGAACGUGGCUCCCUCGGGAGUGUUAUAGACCAUUGCAUAAUACCCUGGGACGGACUGAGGUUCGCGCAUCUGCAAGGAUGCUGGCGUAAUGGUCAUCAGCGACCCGUCUUGAAACACGGACCAAGGAGUCGUCUUCGUAUGCGAGUGUUCGGGUGUAAAACCCCUACGCGUAAUGAAAGUGAACGCAGGUGAGAGCUUCGGCGCAUCAUCGACCGAUCCUGAUGUUCUCGGAUGGAUUUGAGUAAGAGCAUACGGGGCCGGACCCGAAAGAAGGUGAACUAUUCCUGUAUAGGGUGAAGCCAGAGGAAACUCUGGUGGAGGCUCGCAGCGGUUCUGACGUGCGAAUCGAUCGUCAAAUAUGGGAAUGGGGGCGAAAGACUAAUCGAACCUUCUAGUAGCUGGUUUCCGCCGAAGUCUCCCUCCCAAGAAAGGA
rnacentral:rRNA from 1 species